GACGAACGCUGGCGGCGUGCUUAACACAUGCAAGUCGAACGGAAAGGCCCUGCUUUUGUGGGGUGCUCGAGUGGCGAACGGGUGAGUAACACGUGUGUAACCUGUCCUUGACUUUGGGAUAUCUUCAGGAAACUGGGGCUAAUACCGGCUAGGAGCUCCUGCUGCAUGGUGGGCGUUGGUAAGUUUCGGCGGUUGGGGAUGUACUCGCGGCUUAUCAGCUUGUUCGUGGGGUAGUGGCUUACCAAGGUUUUGACGGGUAGCCGGCCUGAGAGGGUUGCCGGCCACAAUAGGACUGAGAUACGGCGCAGACUCCUACGGGAGGCAACAGUGGGGAAUAUUGCACAAUAGGCGGAAGCCUGAUGCGACAACGCCGCGUGCGGGAUGACGUCCUUCGGGUUGUGAACCGCUUUCGCAUGAGACGAGGCGUGAGUGACGGUAAUGGGUAAAGAAGCACCGGCUAACUACGUG
rnacentral:rRNA from 1 species